UGGGGAAUAUUGGGCGAAUGGGCGCAAGCCUGACCCAGCGACGCCGCGUGAGGGAAGAAGGUCUUCGGAUUGUAAACCUCUGUUGACAGGGACGAUAAUGACGGUACCUGUCGAGGAAGCCACGGCUAACUACGUGCCAGCAGCCGCGGUAAUACGUAGGGGGCGAAGCGUUGUCCGGAAUGAUUGGGCGUAAAGGGCGCGUAGGCGGCCCGGUAAGUCUGGAGUGAAAGUCCUGCCUUCAAGGUGGGAAUUGCUUUGGAUACUGUCGGGCUUGAGUGCAGGAGAGGUAAGUGGAAUUCCCAGUGUAGCGGUGAAAUGCGUAGAGAUUGGGAGGAACACCAGUGGCGAAGGCGACUUACUGGACUGUAACUGACGCUGAGGCGCGAAAGUGUGGGGAGCAAACAGGAUUAGAUACCCUGGUAGU
rnacentral:rRNA from 1 species